GACGGAGGGUGCUAGCGUUGUUCGGAAUCACUGGGCGUAAAGGGCGCGUAGGCGGCCUCAGGUGUCGGAUGUGAAAGCCCGGGGCUCAACCCCGGAGGUGCAUCCGAAACUCUGGGGCUGGAGGUCGGAAGAGGAGGGUGGAAUACCCAGUGUAGAGGUGAAAUUCGUAGAUAUUGGGUGGAACACCGGUGGCGAAAGCGGCUCUCUGGUCCGGACCUGACGCUGAGGCGCGAAAGCUAGGGGAGCAAACGGG
rnacentral:rRNA from 1 species